GAAAUGCGAUAAGUAAUGUGAAUUGCAGAAUUCAGUGAAUCAUCGAAUCUUUGAACGCACAUUGCGCCCGCCAGUAUUCUGGCGGGCAUGCCUGUCCGAGCGUCAUUUCAACCCUCGAGCCCCCCCGGGGGCUCGGCGUUGGGGACCGGCCCCGCCCCAGGGCGCCGCCCCCGAAAUACAGUGGCGGUCUCGCCGCAGCCUCCCCUGCGCAGUAGCUUGCACACUCGCACCGGAGAGCGGCGCGGCCACGCCGUUAAACCCCCCGAACUUCUGAAAUGUUGACCUCGGAUCAGGUAGGAAUACCCGCUGAACUUAA
rnacentral:misc_RNA from 1 species